UUAUCUGAGAACAGCGCUUCGGCACGUUUGAAGGUUUUCGCGAGCGUCUCGGAGCGAUUACGCAUACACCGAGACGAGCCGUACGCAUAACUGGACCGAGCACAAGCACAGCAUAAUCAUCUGACGGUCACGUUUUUACAGCUCGCCGCGCGUUUCCGUUCCGCUGACGCGACGAGAAAUUUUAUACGCAAUAUCUUCGCUGCUCUGUAUUUAAACCAGACUCCUGAAUUGUAAGUCAGUGAGCCGAACCAAGUUGAACCCAGUGCACGAUGAAAUUAUUAUUAUUAUUUAAGCUGGGUUGUCGUAACAGGAUGAUUUCUACUGAGGAGAAUUAAAGGGGUGGGUUGAGAAAUCAAAUGUUUAGUGUACGACAUACGCGUUUGUAGUUUAGCACCGUAGCUAUACGGCUAACGGAAGACUCUCGCACAAAACGUUUGCCGUAAACUCAAACCCAAAUUUUCCUGCACGUACUUUAAGUCACCGAGCUUUUAGUAAAGUUGUCUGUGAAUGAUCCGUUUUAAAACGAUUUCAUUGACACCGAUUUUCUUUGUGUUGACGUGUGCGCCGUGAUAAAUGCCAAGCGAGUGUAUGGAACAGCUAGUUUACAUUUAGCCCCGCCCAUAAAACUCCAUAAAAGGCAAAGCUCACAGAGCUGAAAACAACAAAACGAGAUCUAAACAGAUGAGCUUAUUCCUUCUUUUACAGGGCGCCAUUUCUUUUCUUUCUUGAAUAUCUACUCCGAUUUUGUUUUCCUGUAUGCAUUUCUUCCGAGUCUUUGAUGUGAAAUUUCAUGAAACGAAAAGUAAACUUGCGCGUACGACAAAUAAAUAAGGCGUUUCAACUCGACAGCGUCAUCCUCCAGUAACUCAUCGUCUGUUACGCGAUUUUAAACAGACGCGCGUUUUUAACGAUACACAUCCUCACAAAGAGGAGCUUUACAGGAAUCCCGAUGUAGGUUUAGAUCUCUGCGAGCGAGCGAGGCGGUGGCGAGAAAAAUCUGAUCGAGACGACACGAGGAGGAAAGAAUUCAGAAAUUCUACUUUCUAAUAGCACGAUGGGAUCGUAUUCACAAAACUAGAGGAUCGUAAACUGGAGAACUUUAGGAGGCGUGGCCUAGGGGAGACGUCCAAGAUUUCUGCCCGCAUGACAUUGCAGCGUUU
ensembl:lncRNA